rnacentral:rRNA from 1 species
GAUGAACGCUGGCGGCGUGCCUAACACAUGCAAGUCGAACGAAGCACCUUACCUGUUUCUUCGGAUGAAAGUUUGGUGACUGAGUGGCGGACGGGUGAGUAACGCGUGGGUAACCUGCCCUGUACAGGGGGAUAACAGCUGGAAACGGCUGCUAAUACCGCAUAAGCGCACGAGGAUACAUCUCCUUGUGUGAAAAACUCCGGUGGUACAGGAUGGGCCCGCGUUUGAUUAGCUGGUUGGCAGGGUAAUGGCCUACCAAGGGAACGAUCAGUAGCCGGUAUGAGAGGAUGGACGGACACAUUGGAGCUGGGACGCAGUCCAAACUCCUACGGGAGGCAGGAGUGGGUAAUAUUGCAACAUGGCGGGAACGAUGAUGCAGCAACGCCGGGUAAGUGAAGAAAUAUUUCAGUAUGUAAAGCGCAAGCAACAAGGAAGAUCAUGACGGUACCUGACUAAGAAGCCCCGGCUAAAUACGUG